GGGGAAGAAGGUUCCCCUUCGGGGAUGAACUAAAGGGGAAGAAGGGGGUUCCCCUUUAGGGGAAGAACUUUAGUUCCCCUUUAGGGGAUGAUGCCGAAGGGUGUCAUCUUCUUUGGGUAACCCAAAGGGGAUAAACAAAGGGAACCCAAAGGUUCCCGGAGGGUAUCACUUCCCCCUUCGGGUUGUCUGUCCCCCUUGUUCAUCCCCUAAAGGGGAACUAAAGGGGAUGGGGGAACAAAAAGGUUGUCCCCCUUUAGUUCCCCUAAAGGGGAUGAACCAAAGGCUCUAAGAGUUUGGUGGUCCUCUUUGGGUGUCUUUGGUUCCCCUUUAGUUCAUCCCCGAAGGGGAACCUUCUUCCCCUUUAGGGGACUCCGUCCCCUAAAGGGGAAGAAGGGGAACACCCCUUCGUCUCCCCUUUGGGGAACACUAAAGGGGAAGAAGAAGAAGAAGAAGAAGAAGAAGAAGAAGAAGAAGAAGAAGAAGAAGAAGAAGAAGAAGAAGAAGAAGACCAGAGGGGACAGGGCAUAACUUGACGAGGGGGGGGGGACAGCCAACCAACCGGCCUUAAGCCGGAUACUAUAACGUAGUAACAGCCAACAUAUUAACAUAUAGCUUCAACUUGGCUGCAGAGCAGCUGCUUCUAAACUUCACUAAACCAGAGCGUCAGCGUCAGCCACGUGAGCUACUUAAGUUUGUCCAUCCCGAAGGGGGGGGCUUACUUUAACGUAAUUAUGCUACAGAACUUAUCUUGUGAGGGACUCUGGCCCGAACAAAGGUAAACAAUAUAUGGUGUUAAGCCUAGUUCUCUUUUAGGGGCGAAGCCCCCCGCGAAAUAGUAAUGUAGCUUAUGUUAUUAACCACAUUCAACUACACAGGACUCUAAACUACACAGGACUCUCGCUACUGUAGUCCGUUGUGAGUAUUGUCUUUUAGACGCAGGCCGUUGGCACUACUCUAGGUGCUAGAAAUACGCUGUAACUUGUGAGCGGGUUGUCUUCCCCUAAAGGGGAACAAACUUCGGUUCCUUGUCAUCCCCCUAGGGGAAACCAAAGGGUUACCUUGUCCCCUUGUCCCCCUCUGGUUUCCCGAACGGGAAGGGGGUCCCAAGGGUUGUCCCCCUUCUGAACCCUUUGGUUGUCUUCCCCGAAGGGGACAAGAAGGGGACCCCAAGGUUGUUACCCUCCCCCUUUGUCUCUUUUUCCCCUUAAAGGGGACCCCGUGGUCAUCGUCCCUAAAGGGGAAGAGCACUAAAGUGCUCUUCUUCUUCCCCUAAAGGGGACUAAGUUUCCCCUAAAGGGGAUGAACUAAAGGGGACCCCCUUUAGUUCCCCUUAGGGGGAUGAACUAAAGGGGAAGACGACAUCCCCGAAGGGGGAACAUCAUCGUCUUCCCCUUUGGGGAACCCCUUCGUUUUCACUAAAGGGUUGUCUUCUUUAGGGUUGUCUUCUNUAGUUCGUCUUCUUUAGGGGAACCAAAGGGGAAGAACCAAAGUCUUCCCCUAAAGGGGAACCCCUUCUUCCCCGUUAGUUCCCCCUAAAGGGGAAGAAGAACACUAAAGUUCCCCUUUAGGGGAUGAUGAACUAAAGGGGAUGGGGAACAAAGAAGACAGACAACCCUUUGGUAACCCAAAGGGGACAACCCAAAGGGGUUCCCCUUUAGGGGAAGACAACCCUUUGGUUCAUCCCCUAAAGUUCUUCCCCUUUAGGGGAAGAAGAACUAAAGGGGAGCCCAAAGAAGAUGACAACCCUUUGGUUCCCCUUUAGGGGACGAUGACGAAGUAUGAAAAGCUAGGUGAACUGCACCAGUACGUUGUGGCCUACGGCCGUUAGGUGAUCGUAGACGUUUUUUAUCCCCCUUCGGGGAAAGAGCUUCGCCCGUUGUUGUGAGGAACGUGUGCGCUCGGUUAAGUUAGGUGCACUGCACCGACAAGCGAAAGGUAGAUUUAGUUAUUUUAUUCUGGGCCUCCGUCCCUUCGUUAGAUUUGUUACACAGUAACAUAAAAAUUUCCAAACUAAGCACAACACAAGCGCGUCCCCCGAAGGGGAACCUUUGGUUAUCCCCCUUCGGAAACCCUUUGGUUUAUCCCCUAAAGUUCAUCCCCGAAGGGGAACCCCUUCGUCUUCUUCCCCGAAGGGGACCCCUACGUCAUCCCCGAAGGGUAACCCCUUUGGUUCUUCCCCAUAGUCUCCCCAAAGUCUCCCCGAAGAAGAGACUUUGGGGGAUCCCCUUUAGAGUCGACNNNNNNNNNNNNNNNNNNNNNNNNNNNNNNNNNNNNNNNNNNNNNNNNNNUCUUCCCCUAAAGGGGAACCCCUUCGUCAUCGUCCCCUAAAGGGGAAGAGCACUAAAGUGUUCUUCUUCUUCCCCUAAAGGGGAACUAAAGUUCCCCUAAAGGGGAUGAACUAAAGGGGAACCCCUUUAGUUCCCCUUUAGGGGAUGAACUAAAGGGGAAGACGACAUCCCCGAAGGGGGAACAUCAUCGUCUUCCCCUUUGGGGAACCCCUUCGUUUUCACUAAAGGGUUGUCUUCUUUAGGGUUGUCUUCUUUAGUUCGUCUUCUUUAGGGGAACCAAAGGGGAAGAACCAAAGUCUUCCCCUAAAGGGGAACCCCUUCUUCCCCGUUAGUUCCCCCUAAAGGGGAAGAAGAACACUAAAGUUCCCCUUUAGGGGAUGAUGAACUAAAGGGGAUGGGGAACAAAGAAGACAGACAACCCUUUGGUAACCCAAAGGGGACAACCCAAAGGGGUUCCCCUUUAGGGGAAGACAACCCUUUGGUUCAUCCCCUAAAGUUCUUCCCCUUUAGGGGAAGAAGAACUAAAGGGGAGCCCAAAGAAGAUGACAACCCUUUGGUUCCCCUUUAGGGGACGAUGACGAAGUAUGAAAAGCUAGGUGAACUGCACCAGUACGUUGUGGCCUACGGCCGUUAGGUGAUCGUAGACGUUUUUUAUCCCCCUUCGGGGAAAGAGCUUCGCCCGUUGUUGUGAGGAACNGUGUGCGCUCGGUUAAGUUAGGUGCACUGCACCGACAAGCGAAAGGUAGAUUUAGUUAUUUUAUUCUGGGCCU
rnacentral:lncRNA from 1 species